UACGUAGGGGGCAAGCGUUGUCCGGAUUUAUUGGGCGUAAAAGGCUUGUAGGUGGCCACGCCAAGUCGGAUGUGAAAUCUCCCGGCUCAACUGGGAGGGGUCAUUCGAUACUGGCGGGCUCGAGGCCGGUAGGGGGAAGUGGAAUUCCCGGUGUAGUGGUGGAAUGCGUAGAUAUCGGGAGGAACACCAGUGGCGAAGGCGGCUUCCUGGACCGGUUCUGACACUGAGGAGUGAAAGCGUGGGGAGCGAUCCGG
rnacentral:rRNA from 1 species